UAAAACCUACGGGGCGCAGCAGUGGGGAAUAUUGGGCAAUGGGCGAAAGCCUGACCCAGCAACGCCGCGUGAAGGAAGAAGGCUUUCGGGUUGUAAACUUCUUUUGACAGGGAAGAGCAGAAGACGGUACCUGUCGAAUAAGCCACGGCUAACUACGUGCCAGCAGCCGCGGUAAUACGUAGGUGGCAAGCGUUGUCCGGAUUUACUGGGUGUAAAGGGCGUGUAGCCGGGCUGACAAGUCAGAUGUGAAAUCCGGGGGCUCAACCCCCGAACUGCAUUUGAAACUGUUGUACUUGAGUAUCGGG
rnacentral:rRNA from 1 species